UACGAAGGGGGCCAGCGUUGCUCGGAAUCACUGGGCGUAAAGGGUGCGUAGGCGGGUCUUUAAGUCAGGGGUGAAAUCCUGGAGCUCAACUCCAGAACUGCCUUUGAUACUGAGGAUCUUGAGUUCGGGUGAGGUGAGUGGAACUGCGAAUGUAGAGGUGAAAUUCGUAGAUAUUCGCAAGAACACCAGUGGCGAAGGCGGCUCACUGGCCCGAUACUGACGCUGAGGCACGAAAGCGUGGGGAGCAAACAGG
rnacentral:rRNA from 1 species